rnacentral:rRNA from 1 species
CGUGUAGGCGGUAAGAUAAGUCUGGUGUGAAAUACCUCGGCUCAACCGAGGGAACGCGCUGGAAACUGUCUUACUAGAGUGAUGGAGGGGAAACUGGAAUUCCAGGUGUAGGGGUGAAAUCUGUAGAGAUCUGGAAGAACACCGGAGGCGAAGGCGAGUUUCUGGCCAUCUACUGACGCUGAGGCGCGAAAGCGUGGGGAGCGAACAGGAUUAGAUACCCUGGUAGUCC